UAAUACGGAGGGUCCAAGCGUUAUCCGGAAUCAUUGGGUUUAAAGGGUGCGCAGGCGGUUUAAUAAGUCAGUGGUGAAAUCUCGGAGCUCAACUUCGAAACUGCCAUUGAUACUGUUAGACUUGAGUUCAGUUGGAGUAGGCGGAAUGUGUAGUGUAGCGGUGAAAUGCUUAGAUAUUACACAGAACACCGAUAGCGAAGGCAGCUUACUAAACUGAUACUGACGCUGUGGCACGAAAGCGUGGGGAGCGAACAGGAUUAGAUACCCUGGUAGUCCACGCCGUAAACUAUGGUUACUCGAUAUUGGCGAUAUACGGUCAGUGUCUAAGCGAAAGUGAUAAGUAACCCACCUGGGGAGUACGGUCGCAAGAUUG
rnacentral:rRNA from 1 species